UACGUAGGGGGCAAGCGUUGUCCGGAUUUAUUGGGCGUAAAGAGCGUGUAGGCGGCCAGAUAGGUCCGUUGUGAAAACUCGAGGCUCAACCUCGAGACGCCGAUGGAAACCAUUUGGCUAGAGUCCGGAAGAGGAGAGUGGAAUUCCUGGUGUAGCGGUGAAAUGCGCAGAUAUCAGGAAGAACACCCGUGGCUAAGGCGGCUCUCUGGGCCACUACUGACGCUGAGAAGCGAAAGCAUGGGGAGCGAACAGG
rnacentral:rRNA from 1 species